rnacentral:rRNA from 1 species
UACGUAGGGUGCAAGCAUUAAUCGGAUUUAUUGGGCGUAAAGGGCGCGUAGACGGGAAUGUAAGUCAGAUGUGAAAUCCCGAGGCUUAACCUCGGAACAGCAUUUGAAACUAUAUUUCUAGAGGAUGGACGGAGAAAACGGAAUUCCACAAGUAGCGGUGAAAUGCGUAGAUAUGUGGAAGAACACCAGUGGCGAAGGCGGUUUUCUAGUUUAUUCCUGACGUUGAGGCGCGAAAGCUAGGGGAGCAAACAGG